UACAGAGGGGGCAAGCGUUGUUCGGAAUUACUGGGCGUAAAGGGCGCGUAGGCGGCCUGCUAAGUCGAACGUGAAAUCCCGGGGCUCAACCCCGGAACUGCAUCCGAUACUGCCAUGCUAGAGGAUUGGAGAGGUAGCUGGAAUUCUUGGUGUAGCAGUGAAAUGCGUAGAGAUCAAGAGGAACACUCGUGGCGAAAGCGAGCUACUGGACAAUUCCUGACGCUGAGGCUCGAAGGCUAGGGUAGCGAAAGGG
rnacentral:rRNA from 1 species